CAGUGCUCGUCGGCACGUCGCGUCCCCUCUCAAGGGGCGCUGGCGUCUGCCGCGCCUGCCACCCGUGUCUACCUCUUUCCACUGUUGCCUCGGCGGGCCCGCUAGGCGUAUCUACGCCUGGCCGCCGGGGGGCUCACCGCGUACCCACGCGGUUCCCCCUGGCCCGCGCCCGCCGGAGGACCCUGUGAACCCUGUGAAUGUUAGUGUUGUCUGAGCUUGUUGGUGAAUACAGUUA
rnacentral:misc_RNA from 1 species